UCCAGACUCCUACGGGAGGCAGCAGUGGGGGAUAUUGCACAAUGGGGGAAACCCUGAUGCAGCGACGCCGCGUGAGUGAAGAAGUAUUUCGGUAUGUAAAGCUCUAUCAGCAGGGAAGAAAAAAGACGGUACCUGACUAAGAAGCCCCGGCUAACUACGUGCCAGCAGCCGCGGUAAUACGUAGGGGGCAAGCGUUAUCCGGAUUUACUGGGUGUAAAGGGAGCGUAGACGGCAAUACAAGUCGGAAGUGAAAUACCCGGGCUCAACCUGGGAACUGCUUUGGAAACUGUAUGGCUGGAGUGCUGGAGAGGUAAGCGGAAUUCCUAGUGUAGCGGUGAAAUGCGUAGAUAUUAGGAGGAACACCAGUGGCGAAGGCGGCUUACUGGACAGUAACUGACGUUGAGGCUCGAAAGCGUGGGGAGCAAACAGGAUUAGAUACCCUUGUACG
rnacentral:rRNA from 1 species